CACGAACCGUACGAACGUUAUUCGGAAUUACUGGGCUUAAAGGGUUUGUAGGCGGCCUUGUAAGUCAGGUGUGAAAUCCCUCGGCUCAACCGAGGAACGGCGCUUGAUACUGCAUGGCUUGAGGGAGACAGGGGUAAGCGGAACUGAUGGUGGAGCGGUGAAAUGCGUUGAUAUCAUCAGGAACACCGGUGGCGAAAGCGGCUUACUGGGUCUCUUCUGACGCUGAGGAACGAAAGCUAGGGUAGCGAACGGG
rnacentral:rRNA from 1 species